rnacentral:lncRNA from 1 species
AGCGUCGGUAGGGGCUUGCGUGUCUAUUAAUUGUUAUGUCCUUCAAGCAUGAAUUAAGUAACACCUUCUGGUUAUAAUGCCAGCCCGGAAUAUGAAUAUAAGGUUAGCUUCUACAAUUGAUUUGGCAGGAAUCAAAUCCGAGUUCCUCUACUGCGGAUUCGGCAGGGACCAGGCCUUCAGCGAUGGUUCAAUGCAUUAAGGAACCACAUUGAAGAAUUUCACAGAAGGAUCUGGAGGCCAGUUGCCUCUAGGAGUUGAAGGCAGCUUCCAGCUUACAGUCAGCAAAUAACUGGGGACCUUGUUCUUACAACCACAGGAAAUGAAUUAUAUCCACAACCUGAAUGAGCUUGGAAGCAGGUAAUUCCAUAGAUAAUCCUUUGGAAGAGGAGGCAGUAUGGCUGACACCUUAACUGUAGCUUUGUGAGAUCUGUAACAGAAGACUCAGUAGCUAU